rnacentral:rRNA from 1 species
AUACGUAGGUGGCAAGCGUUGUCCGGAAUUAUUGGGCGUAAAGCGCGCGCAGGUGGUUCCUUAAGUCUGAUGUGAAAGCCCCCGGCUCAACCGGGGAGGGUCAUUGGAAACGGGGGAACUUGAGUGCAGAAGAGGAUAGUGGAAUUCCAAGUGUAGCGGUGAAAUGCGUAGAGAUUUGGAGGAACACCAGUGGCGAAGGCGACUGUCUGGUCUGUAACUGACACUGAGGCGCGAAAGCGUGGGGAGCAAACAGGAUUAGAUACCCUGGUAGUCCACGCCGUAAACGAUGAGUGCUAAGUGUUGGGGGGUUUCCGCCCCUCAGUGCUGCAGCUAACGCAUUAAGCACUCCGCCUGGGGAGUACGGUCGCAAGACUGAAACUCAAAGGAAUUGACGGGG